rnacentral:lncRNA from 1 species
UGUGGAAGCCUUGAUUCACCAGUGAAUUUGGCGCCAUAACAUCAGAAGAUUAUGAGUGGAGUCUAGUCUGUGAACAGAGUCCUAAGAAGGAAGUAGUGCUGUAACUUACUUCAUCUAAAGAAGCAUCAUCGCUGAAUGUAAAGAGUGAUUCUGGAUUGGAUCUUGAGCUGGAAAAAAAAUGGAGAUAAAUGUGCAAACUUGGCAUUACUCUUUAAGAAUAACAAGUGAACUGGAAAUGAGAGGGUGGUGACAUGAAGAGAGAGAGAAGAAAUGCGUUCCUUAUAUCUCUUCCAGCUCCUGCAUGGAACGGAGGAUCUGACAGUGGCCGUUCCUGGGUAUUAAAGCCAGUGCAAAAGAUAGAGCGUCCAAAAGGCAACUUCUUC